UGGGGAAUAUUGCACAAUGGGCGCAAGCCUGAUGCAGCGACGCCGCGUGGGGGAUGACGGCCUUCGGGUUGUAAACCUCUUUCAGUAUCGGCGAAGCUCCCGGAUUUUUCUGGGGGUGACGGUAGGUACAGAAGAAGCACCGGCUAACUACGUGCCAGCAGCCGCGGUAAUACGUAGGGUGCGAGCGUUAAUCGGAAUUACUGGGCGUAAAGGGUGCGCAGGCGGUCUUGCAAGUCAGAUGUGGAAGCCCCGGGCUUAACCUGGGAAUUGCGUUUGAAACUACAAGACUAGAGUGCAGCAGAGGGGAGUGGAAUUCCAUGUGUAGCAGUGAAAUGCGUAGAGAUGUGGAAGAACACCGAUGGCGAAGGCAGCUCCCUGAGUUGACACUGACGCUCAUGCACGAAAGCGUGGGGAGCAAACA
rnacentral:rRNA from 1 species